rnacentral:rRNA from 1 species
UACGUAGGGUGCAAGCGUUGUCCGGAAUUAUUGGGCGUAAAGAGUUCGUAGGCGGUUUGUCGCGUCCGUUGUGAAAGCUUGGGGCUCAACCCCAAGUCUGCAGUGGAUACGGGCAGACUAGAGUCAGGUAGGGGGGAACGGAAUUCCUGGUGUAGCGGUGAAAUGCGCAGAUAUCAGGAGGAACACUGGUGGCGAAGGCGGUUCUCUGGGCCUGUACUGACGCUGAGGAACGAAAGCGUGGGGAGCGAACAGG